UUAAGAUGCUGGAAGAAGAUAAAUCGAGUUUGUUUGUAGAAAUGACAUGCAUUAAAAUAGGAAAGGCAGGGUGUCCCAAUAUAUAAUGGUAUUCGGAGGAGGUGGUUUUGACAAUGGAAAAGGCAAAUAGAGGUGAAGAUAACAGCCACUCAUACACACCAUCAUUAGCUUUACCCGUCAAAAGCGUUGCUCCUAUGUGAAGAUCUUUUACAAGAAAAGAAUACGAGAACAUUGGUUAAGGAAAAAUGAGCAUUGGAACUGCGAAGAGAAGUGGGACCAGUAUGUGUUAUGGGAAGCCCUGUGCCAUCUCCAAUUAUAAUAUCGUCAGAGCCAUUGUAUGGGGCAUGAAGUAAGAAAUUGCUCAAGUCAGGUGACAUGAUGAGAAGAGCCGCUAUCCAAUAGCCAUGUUGGGGAUGUCUCAAUUGGUAUUAAUUUAGAGGGACAACGCUUAGCUGCAUGUCCUUGAAUUCUGCAAAUUUAGCAAUAGCUAAGGUAAGGCUUGGAAGAGCUGCGAUCAGAACGGGAAUUAUUAGAUGGUAGAGAAUCGAUUACCAUAGCCUUUGUUGUUGCCAAGGGAAUAAGAAGAGUGUGGCAAGUUGUGUGAGCCAGUGUAGUCACGAUUGAUUGGAUUAGCGGAGGCAGGGAAGUCGGCUUGUUCAGUUUUGUUGGUAUUUUGGAGAGAGGCUUCAAAGUUUAGAAGCUUUUUAUGUGGUUCAUUAAAGGAGAUUGGAGUGUCUCGUGCUUGAACUGCCUGAGCCAAUUCUUUAUAAUCGUCACCAAGUCCCUCAAGAAUUCUUUCCGAGAGAUCUUCAUCAACAACUGCUGCUCCAAGGAUGGCAAGCUCAUCAGCUCAAGCCUGGAUGGUCUGGAGGAACUCAAAAAUACCCAUGGAUCCGAUCCCUUCGUGGUUUGUUUUAACUGGUUUUUCACCUGCUUGAUUCUGCCACAAGAUGGUUUGGCAUAUGUAUUAGCCAAUAUUGUCCAGGCUUCCUGUGAUGUUUUUUGCUUGAGCAAUGAAUGACAUUAUUGUGGGAGACAGAGAACCAAGAAUGGCAUUAAGAAGUUGAAUUGUUUGAUCCAUGGUGUAUGUGCUGGAUUAGGUGUAGUGGUUUCCUUGAAUAAUUGUUUCGGGACAAGGAUUUGAUCCGUCAAUGAAUCUGAGGAGAUCAUACCCAAUGAAUUGAAGUUUCCAGGCUAAAUAGUUUGUGGAGGUAAGUUUUAACGGAGUUUGUGCGGCAACAUUGAUGUUUUUUCAUACAAAAUGCACUUAAAAAAGUACGAGGAAUGCAAUACCAAACGGUGCCGCCUAUAUCGUCUGCAUCAUCUAUCAAUCAAGUAACUGAAUUUCAUUAACGCAACUGAAACAUAGAACCACUAUUUCUUCUUGACAACAUUAUUGCAGGCCAUUGGGUACAAAACAUAAC